rnacentral:rRNA from 1 species
CAGCAGCCGCGGUAAUACCGGCGGCCCGAGUGGCGGCCACUAUUAUUGGGCCUAAAGCGUCCGUAGCCGGGCUGGUAAGUCCCCCGGGAAAUCUGGCGGCUUAACCGUCAGAAUUCCGGGGGAUACUGCCAGCCUAGGGACCGGGAGAGGCCGGGGGUAUUCCCGGGGUAGGGGUGAAAUCCUGUAAUCCCGGGAGGACCACCUGUGGCGAAGGCGCCCGGCUGGAACGGGUCCGACGGUGAGGGACGAAGGCCAGGGGAGCGAACCGGAUUAGAUACCCGGGUAGUCCUGGCUGUAAAGGAUGCGGGCUAGGUGUCGGGUGAGCUUCGGGCUCGCCCGGUGCCGUAGGGAAGCCGUUAAGCCCGCCGCCUGGGGAGUACGGCCGCAAGGCUGAAACUUAAAGGAAUUGGCGGG